AUUGAACGCUGGCGGCAGGCCUAACACAUGCAAGUCGAGCGGAUGAAGGGAGCUUGCUCCUGGAUUCAGCGGCGGACGGGUGAGUAAUGCCUAGGAAUCUGCCUGGUAGUGGGGGAUAACGUCCGGAAACGGGCGCUAAUACCGCAUACGUCCUGAGGGAGAAAGUGGGGGAUCUUCGGACCUCACGCUAUCAGAUGAGCCUAGGUCGGAUUAGCUAGUUGGUGGGGUAAAGGCCUACCAAGGCGACGAUCCGUAACUGGUCUGAGAGGAUGAUCAGUCACACUGGAACUGAGACACGGUCCAGACUCCUACGGGAGGCAGCAGUGGGGAAUAUUGGACAAUGGGCGAAAGCAUGAUCCAGCCAUGCCGCGUGUGUGAAGAAGGUCUUCGGAUUGUAAAGCACUUUAAGUUGGGAGGAAGGGCAGUAAGUUAAUACCUUGCUGUUUUGACGUUACCAACAGAAUAAGCACCGGCUAACUUCGU
rnacentral:rRNA from 1 species